rnacentral:rRNA from 1 species
UACGUAGGGGGCAAGCGUUGUCCGGAUUUAUUGGGUUUAAAGGGUGCGUAGGCGGCCCUGUAAGUCAGUGGUGAAAUACUGCAGCUUAACUGUAGCAUUGCCAUUGAUACUGUAGGGCUUGAGUACAGAUGAGGUAGGCGGAAUUGAUGGUGUAGCGGUGAAAUGCAUAGAUACCAUCAAGAACACCGAUUGCGAAGGCAGCUUACUAAGCUGUAACUGACGCUGAGGCACGAAAGCGUGGGGAUCGAACAGG